rnacentral:lncRNA from 1 species
UAUAAUUAGCGUAUAAUGAGCAGUGAGACAACUGGAGGUCACUUUCAUCGCCAUCUUGGUUUUGGUGGGUUUUGGACAGCUUCUUUACGCAUGCUGUUUUAUCAGCAAGGUCUUUGUGACUUGUAUCUUGUGCCGACCUCCUAUCUCAUCCUGUGUCUAGGAAUGCCUUAACCUCCUGGAAUGCAGCUCAUGUCACCCUGCUUACACAUGGAAGGGAGGCCUGAGAGGCUGCAGAAUGGCCCUGGAGAAGGCAAGAGACACUGUCUGGUUGGCCUGGAGUGCACAUCUGUGAGAGACUUUGGGGCAGUUCUCUCUUCUCUAUGCUAGAGCCAUUGAUGCCCUGUGCACUUCAUUGCCUUUGACCAUCAUUCCUUGCUCCUGGAAUGCCACCUCCUCUUUGCCACAGUUAAUAAAACCAGCUGAAGCCUC